rnacentral:lncRNA from 1 species
ACCGGUUUCAGACAACCUUUACCCUUACCAGAUCUGGAACGAGGGCUGUCAUGAACAGCAUUGGCGUUCUUGUUCACUGUUCCGGUGCUGUGUCGGUUCCUGUUAGAAGCUGUCUUCAGAACCUCUUCACGGGACGACGAGGUGACCGCGUCGCUGAAGCUUUUUCUCCGAGAAAGGAUGAGUUUUGGCGACUUGGGACGGGUCAAAGGAAGCUAGAAAGAUACAAUAACAUCAUAAGCUAACUUUAUCACAAGAACAAAAAGAGAGUUUCGGUUCUAAGUAUUACCUUCUUGAGCUCAGGUUUAGCAGGAGGCGCCUCGUAGUAGAAGUUAGGAACAGGUUUAGCCUUAAACUUGAGAUUCUUUCUGAGCUGUUUCAAGGCCGCUUCUUGCUCUUCCUUUUGCCUUUGUUCAAGCUCGUUCCUCUCGGCUUCAAGCGCUUGGUUCUUCUCCUCAAGCUUUUGGUAAUACUAAAAAAAAAAAGAUCAAUUAAUAAAACAGAAGAAGAAAGUAGACUUUAUAAAUAUGAGAGAGAGUGUCUUUACUACCUCUUUGCGCUUCUCAGCACGUUGAGCGCUCUUGAACGUUGGAGCGCUUCCAUGAGUCACUCCUGACUUAGCCCUCCUCAAGGAAGCGAUGGAGAAACUAUCGUCCUCAUCAUCCAUAUGCUUCUUGUUAUCAGGUUCAAAUUUAAAACUGAUUAAUUGAAAUAUAGUAAUAUUGUUAUAUGUAAAUUAUAUAAUACAAUUGAUCAUGUAUAUACAUAUUUAUUUUAUUAUUAUGAAGAAACAAAAUCAAUUAUGAUUGCUAUAAAAUUUAUAGUAAGAUUCAUUCUAUAUGAAUCUUCCUCUGACAAUAUUAACACAAAUAAUAUAUACAUGUAGUAGUCAAUAACAUAUAGGUGGAAGAUCCAAAAACACUCAAAAUAUACAAAUUUAAACAUUAGGAGUUUUCUUCAACAAUAACGUAAAAAAGUUUCACCUUACAAAGUAAAACCGUGAGAGACGGUUACAUUGUGAACCAACCAUAUACCGGAAAUAACCGAAAACAUUUUAAAUUUUCUCCAACAAGAUCAAAGUUAGACUCUGAGAGUAGUAAACACACCGUUUUCAUCACCGUUUUCAAGCCUCACAAGCUUCUUCCAAGGACUCGUUAACCGGUUUCAGACAACCUUUACCCUUACCAGAUCUGGAACGAGGGCUGUCAUGAACAGCAUUGGCGUUCUUGUUCACUGUUCCGGUGCUGUGUCGGUUCCUGUUAGAAGCUGUCUUCAGAACCUCUUCACGGGACGACGAGGUGACCGCGUCGCUGAAGCUUUUUCUCCGAGAAAGGAUGAGUUUUGGCGACUUGGGACGGGUCAAAGGAAG